rnacentral:antisense_RNA from 1 species
CUGCGCGCAGCGCUGGGCGGUCAGCGUGAGGCAGAUCAGGCCGCGCGCAUGCGUGGCCAUGAAAUUGAUCGCCUGCGGCGUGAUGUGCUCGGCGGCGAUGACCA